rnacentral:sRNA from 3 species
UCUCGUUUAAACAGCGUAAGCCGCCUCUUUACACUACUUGUAACUCCAGGGUUACUCCAGUUUGAUUAAAGUCUUCAAAUAAUAC